UACGUAGGGUGCGAGCGUUGUCCGGAAUUAUUGGGCGUAAAGAGCUUGUAGGCGGUUUGUCGCGUCUGCUGUGAAAUCUCAAGGCUCAACCUUGAGCUUGCAGUGGGUACGGGCAGACUAGAGUGCGGUAGGGGGAGAUUGGAAUUCCUGGUGUAGCGGUGGAAUGCGCAGAUAUCAGGAGGAACACCAAUGGCGAAGGCAGAUCUCUGGGCCGUAACUGACGCUGAGGAGCGAAAAGCAUGGGGGAGCGAAACAGG
rnacentral:rRNA from 1 species